GCCCGCAGACCCUCCCUGGCCCUCGGCGUGGCGACGGGCUCCGGCACCGGGCCUCCCGUGUCGUUACCUCUCCUCGAAGGCUGCCAAGAGGCGCUCAUCCAGGAUAUUUUCUUCUGGUUCCCAUGUGCUGUACCUGCAACCAGCUUUACAUGGACUGGC